AGGGCGCUUAGCUCAGUUGGUAGAGCGUCUGCCUUACAAGCAGAAUGUCGGCGGA
rnacentral:tRNA from 1 species